CACGUUUCACGAACGUUCAUGUUGGCGACGCAAUCGCCAUCUGGUAGCACCAUUUUUAAACGUACGUGCCGCGCAAGUAAAUUACGAAACGAAUCGGUCUUUAUUUGUUUCUGUUCGAAUUUUACAAGCAAUAAACAGCUCUCGUAGAAGCAACUCUGUCGACCGCACAGAAAUUUAAUGCAACUGACCGAGCAAGCGCUGGAUCGGAAAUGGUGAACGUGGCUCCCUGUGGAUUUGCCGCGUGUUUACAGAGCUACCGCACAUUUAAUGGUCCUGACGACAAUUUUUCAAUCAUCCAGGAACAGCUUCCAAUAUGGGUUUUAUGAUGUGGAUGAUUAAUGUCAAAGAUGUUAUCAGCAGAUCUUACGAUUCAUUGGCGAUAAUGGCGGAUAUUGCAAGUUGCUCGAAGCAUGAUAAGCGAAGAGAAGAUAUUUCGAUCACCAUUUUUUUAUUUAACGCAGUAAGUUGAAGGAACAUGAAUGCCUCGUGUCAAAAGGUGAAGGCAAACGAAAUGGAUUUUCCGUUUUUAUGACGUUGUGAGAAAACGAUCUUUCAGUUGACUUGUACCAAAGUCAAUUGACCUCACUUCAUACCUAUCACUUUACUCGUUCGAGGGUCGAAAAAUCGCGAUUAGAAAAACAAUUGCCUAUUUAUGUUUGAUAUUUAUUCAUGCCUUCGUUGGAAAAUCGAGUCUUGUAAGGAUAGACAUCUGGCUAGACGAUAUUAAUUGAUGAUCAAUAAUCGAGUGAAGUAUUAAAUGCUCUUUUUAAAUUAAUAGAAUUAUAAUUGUCUUCUCUCAAAAAGAGGUAAAAAUGUGUUUUGCGUUAUAAGUUAUAAGAUAUUAAUCCACUGAUGGUAUAUUCUUUACGAUUUUUAUUAAUAUUUCUUUGUAUUCAUUUGUUUAAUUGAUUAUUUUUAUUAAAAAAUUAUUAUUAUUAUUUUAUUUAUACAUUAAUUAUAUAUUACAAUUUAAAUAUUAAUAUCUUAUUUCUCGUAGCAAUUGAAACUUUUUUUAUUACUUAUAACGAUUUCGUUAAAAUAUAAUGGCAUCUAAAUAAGUGAAUUAAUAAAUUUAUAAUUUCAAAGUUCCAGAUAAAAAAAGCUGCAAAAGAAAUUUAAUCAAUGCUAAUGAAAUGCAUACAGAAUAAUAAUUUUUUGCAUCAUCAAAUACGUCACUGCCAUCUAACAGCCUCUACUCGUGAAUACUUUUCAGAUUGCAAAAAUUUCGCUUUUAACUUUAUCGUGCAUCACUUUUUUUAAGUUAAACUUUUCUUCUUGUUUUUAUUUCAUAAAAAUAUCAACAGCAUUCUUCCUCUUAAGGAAUUUUUUAUGUGUAACACAAAGUCGGUCAGAAAUUGUCCCUUUUCGUCACGAAAUCUUCAAUUAAGCCUAUAAAUCGUAAGAAAUCGUGGCUGCGAGAUCAAACUGGAUAUCGGUUCACCGACCUGCGAAGCCCAACAAAGGAUUCACGAGAAAGUUUUCACUCGUGACAGCAGAUAACAGACCGUGACAAAGUACUUGCAGCUUUUCUGCAACACCUGAUACGUCGCAAUUACCCAUGUCAUCCUUAAUUGGGUUACGCCCGUUACAACGAUUGUCAUCGUUUUUCGCGUCGGUCCUUUUCAUCCGAUCUCACGUUACACGACUGAUAAACGUACCAAAAUAAUUGUAACUUACAAACUAUGUGUAUAAUAAAAUGAAGGACAAAUAAAAAAAAAAAGAAAGGUGUAUCUCGUUGGAAAGUAGCUGCACCAGGAAUGUGAGCUGGAAUGAUUUACGAUUCUUUGCAAGUCAUAAAAACAUCAGCUAUAAGGGAUGGAAAGUUUUUGCGAAGAUUUGAAAGAAAAUUUACGAUGUGCUCUCAGGUUUCGAUAUAGUGGAACAGUAUCUUUAAUUACGAGGUUCUCCAUAAAAAUAAAAUAUGCAAAAUCUAUUUACUCGUUUCAUGUAAGUAAGUGACCUCGAGACAGUUUGAACGAAAUUUCAUUUUAAUUGUGCUGAUUAAUUAUACAUAUGAUUCCGAAGAAUUAAUUUCUACAAUGAUGUCCAAAUUUGAUGAAUAUAAGGAAAAAUUGGAUGAAGUUACUUUUGGUUUUACGGAUCCCAGAACUUAUAAAUGAUCUGUCUAUAUUAAAUUAUUAUUAAAUUAUCAAAAAAACUAUAUAAUUUUCGAUUAAUUGAGGGGUAUUUCUUUGGGAAAGAAAUAGUUGAUCACAGCAUGCAAUUUGUAACUGAUUCAAGUACUCGAUAUUGAUGAACAAAUUAUGAUUAACGUCGUAAAAAAAGAGAUAGUUAAAAAUUUAAAAAAUGAACAAUGAAAAGAACUCACCUUCUUACGAUGCGGACAGCAAGAAGAUCCAUUGCCCAUGGUUCGAUCCUUCAAACAGCGAAAGAAUCAACCCUCACACUAAUUCAUAGCACUUUAACACAACGCUUCCAAAAUUUUCUUCGCACAAAUUCAUUUCUUUCUUUCUUCAUCGCUAUUAAGAAAAUUGUAGGUUUAUUAUCGCGUUGGUAUUCGAGCCAACCAUUCCGUCGAUAGUUCAAUCGCAUUUGUUAACAAUCUUCUGAAUCUUGACAAGAUCACCUUGUCGUAAGUUUUAUAUCUGAUCUGACGAAAAAGGUUUCUUUAAAUUUUCCUCAUACUGAUCAAUAAGAUCAAUGUGAAAAGUCUUGAUCUCGUAGAUGAAGUAAAGAAACGAACGGAGAAAAGACUAGCAAGUGAAAUGACCGCAAGAAAUCGAAGAAGCCUUAGUAAUUGAGAGAAAUGGAUGAGCUGACAGUAAUAUGGAUUACUGUGUCAAUUGUGCAGCUCGUGGAAAUAUAAAGUUUCGUCGCUCAACAUCUUCUUGGACGAAAUUAAUUAAGUUGAACAGUCAAAUAUCCGAAGAAAGCAUUCGAUAAAGUCAGUGAUUCCUUCGCUCGAGAUGGAUGAUUCCUUCCUUCAGGAAGAUUAAUGAGAACUCCAGAAACGAAGAAAUUCGUUUCGAAUCGAAUUCGUUGCUCACCGUUUAAGUUUUGUUUUUUCGAUUUUUUUCUUUUGUUUCCGCUCGCUUUUUUGAAAUUCGCGCGCAGAACAAAUCGGUUGUUAGCAAUCGAGCGAUAAGACUUCGGUUUUGACCUCUCCGAUGCGGGAAUAUGGAAACGCUAAUGAGUGUCAAGAGGUUGGCCAAGUCGAAAAUAGAAUCUGACGUGCUCCAUGGGAAUUGGAGUUGGUUAAAGCCUUUAAAUGUUUGAUGUUGAAUGGAAAUAAUUUUUAUACACCUAUUAAAUUAUUUUAAAUAAUAUCAUCUUGAAAAUUCACUUGUAAAGAAUCAUUCAGAAUUCUCUGAAGUCCAAGUAACAGAUAUUAAGUGUCGAGGAUUACAUACAUAUGGAAAUUUAUCUUAAACUAUUGGUUCAAAGAUCUUAUGUUAAGUAUUUACUCUCUUCAUCGUUAAUCAUUUUCAAUCAAUUGAUUAGACAAUGUAAAGACAAAUUCGAAGAUUGAAAAGAAACUAUGUUGUUCAAUUUGUAAUAUCAACUACAGAGAGAAAAAGAUCAGAAGACUGCCCACAUAUGAUCUAAGAUUCGCUUCCCUUUAUCAUUAAUCAGCAUUUUCAUUAGAACUUAUUUCGGCUAUGAUCUGUAAUUCCUUAACAGUGUAACUUAUGGCAUCCGACAGACGGAUUAGAAUCUCCCUGGCUGUAAUUUCUCCAUAAGGCGGCUGCCAUUUAUCUCAACUGCCAAUAACGACGAUUACUCGCCACUUGCAAAAUCUUCGGUUGCUUACUUUCGAGAUUCUUCAUCAAGAAAAAAUUCUUGAAUGACUGGUGCAAGAUCCAAGGAAAAUGAACUUUGAUUUCGAUAUAAGUUUUUAAACUUGAUGAUUCAUUGAUUUUUUAUUUUUAAUUUUUUAUCUAAUAUUCUUUUAAUGAAUUUUUUUCUAUUAUAUGAGUUAAUAGAAAAUGUUUAUUAUAUAUUAUAUAUAUAGUUUUAAUAGAAAAAUGAGAAUGGGAUAAAUUAUAGCCAAUAAUGAAUAAAUCUCGUGAAUUAAUACACAUAAAAAUUUAUAUGUAUGUAAAAAAUAUAUUAUAUAUAAAAAAUCAAUUAAUAUGAUAAUGAAAGUAUUAAAUAGUAUUUAAUUUUUUUUUCUUCAUUUAAAAUAAUAUUUUAAUGAUAUUUUAAUAAAAUAAUAUUUAAAAUAAAAUGUAAUACCUGUAUAAAUAAUGUAUAAUAUAUAUAUAAUGUUUAAAAUAAUAUAUUUAUAAAAAGAUAUGGAGUUUUGUAUGAUGAAUAAUAAAAAUAACUUAUGCUAUUGAUAAAUAAAUGCAAUAAAAUGAAA